UUUGAUCCUGGCUCAGGAUGAACGCUAGCGGCAGGCUUAACACAUGCAAGUCGAGGGGUAACAGGGUGCUUGCACCGCUGACGACCGGCGCACGGGUGCGUAACGCGUAUACAAUCUACCUUUUACAGGGGCAUAGCCCGGGGAAACCCGGAUUAAUAUCCCAUGGUAUCAUUUAGUGGCAUCACUUGAAUGAUUAAAGCUUCGGCGGUAAAAGAUGAGUAUGCGUUCUAUUAGCUAGAUGGUAAGGUAACGGCUUACCAUGGCUUUGAUAGAUAGGGGUCCUGAGAGGGAGAUCCCCCACACUGGUACUGAGACACGGACCAGACUCCUACGGGAGGCAGCAGUGAGGAAUAUUGGACAAUGGGCGAGAGCCUGAUCCAGCCAUGCCGCGUGCAGGAAGACUGCCCUAUGGGUUGUAAACUGCUUUUAUACGGGAAGAAACACUCCCUCGUGAGGGAAUUUGACGGUACCGUACGAAUAAGGAUCGGCUAACUCCGUGCCAGCAGCCGCGGUAAUACGGAGGAUCCAAGCGUUAUCCGGAAUCAUUGGGUUUAAAGGGUCCGCAGGCGGGAUAAUAAGUCAGUGGUGAAAGUCUGCAGCUCAACUGUAGAACUGCCAUUGAUACUGUUGUCCUUGAGUAAUUAUGAAGUGGUUAGAAUAUGUAGUGUAGCGGUGAAAUGCAUAGAUAUUACAUAGAAUACCGAUUGCGAANGCAGAUCACUAAUAAUCUACUGACGCUGAUGGACGAAAGCGUANGUAGCGAACAGGAUUAGAUA
rnacentral:rRNA from 1 species